rnacentral:rRNA from 1 species
AUUGAACGCUGGCGGCAUGCCUUACACAUGCAAGUCGAACGGCAGCGGGGACUUCGGUCCGCCGGCGAGUGGCGAACGGGUGAGUAAUGUAUCGGAACGUACCAUUCAGUGGGGGAUAACUAUCCGAAAGGGUAGCUAAUACCGCAUAUUCUGUGAGCAGGAAAGCAGGGGAUCGCAAGACCUUGCGCUGAUUGAGCGGCCGAUAUCAGAUUAGCUAGUUGGUGAGGUAACGGCUCACCAAGGCUACGAUCUGUAGCGGGUCUGAGAGGAUGAGCCGCCCCACUGGGACUGGGACACGGCCCAGACUCCUACGGGAGGCAGCAGUGGGGAAUUUUGGACAAUGGGCGCAAGCCUGAUCCAGCCAUGCCGCGUGAGUGAAGAAGGCCUUCGGGUUGUAAAGCUCUUUCGGCCGGGAAGAAAUCGCAUCAGCUAAUACCUGGUGUGGAUGACGGUACCGGAAUAAGAAGCACCGGCUAACUACGUGCCAGCAGCCGCCGUAA